rnacentral:rRNA from 1 species
AUUGAACGCUGGCGGCAGGCCUAACACAUGCAAGUCGAACGAGUGGCGGACGGGUGAGUAAUGUCUGGGAAACUGCCCGAUGGAGGGGGAUAACUACUGGAAACGGUAGCUUAUACCCCAUACAAUCGGUCGCGCCCAUAUGGGAUUAGCUAGUAGGCGGGGUAACGGCUCACAUAGGCGACGAGCCCUAGCUGGUCUGAGAGGCUGACAAGCCACACGGGAACUGAGACACGUUCCAGAUGCCUACGGGAGGCAGCAGUGGGGACUCUUGCACAAUGGGCGCAAGCCGGAUGCAGCCAUGCCGCGUGUAUGACGAAGGCCUUCGGGUUGUAAAGUACUUUCAGCGAGGAGGCGUUACUCGCAGAAGAAGCACCGGCUAAGGCCGUGCCAGCAGCCGCGGUAAUUC